UGCAGAAAAGGGUAUCAAAUGUCACCCACAUAUCUUUAAAAAAUAUUUAUUCUGUUUCAAAAUGUAGUAUGUUUUUUAUUUGCUAUGAUUAUAGUCCUGUUUUAUUUUUACCUUUAGAUAUGCAAUUUUAUAAGAAGAAUAUCGUCCCAUGUUUAGGAACAAUGGUUGCUUAGCAACUUUGGAUAUCCCAGAAGACUAGAUGAUACUUAACUGCAUCUCCAUGACUGUGUUAAACAUAGUCCUGCAUAUAAAAGCCCUAGUGAAUCAACCGCUGAAGAAAUGGUAGAGUUAGUUGCAGUGAAUGAAGCUCUUCCAUCGUCUGGUUAUCACUGACAUCAUCUGGUUAUCACUGACAUCAUCUCUUUGUCCUGAGUCUUUUCCAGCCAACGUCUGCUCCAUUUAGCUAGAGAGGAACCACAGCCUGACAGUCUGUUUGUUCUCUGUUCCCCACUGAAUCAAGAGAGCUGAAUGUUGCAACCAACCAGAUCCAGCUACCAUGUUGUUGUAGAAGACAAGUAAAGGCUCAGAUACUGAUAAAUAAAGCACAGCCUGAUCUUGCCCUAGCUCACUCACAGGUUACUAGAUCUCAUCCUCUAAUUAUUCCCCCAAACACUGAACCUCAGUUUAACCUCCUGACAACUGGACUCAGCCUCUGGCCUCUUGUUACCAACGUUUUCAUCUUUUUAUAUCAUUUCAUUUAGAUUAAGAACUCACAAGCAGCUCUUGUAUUUACUUUGUAUAUGCUGGGAUCUUUCUAAUGUUGUUAAUAAAAUCUCAUUUCAGUGUAAACAAAUAAAAUACAUUACAAAGUGA